rnacentral:rRNA from 1 species
GCCGAAUAAUGGCGACGCGAAAGAGAAAUCGAGUAGGGCCCUGGGGAGAGUACACGCGCAAGCGAGAAAUUUAAAGGAAAUUGACGGAAGAACACCACAAGGAGUGGAGUGUGCGGCUUAAUUUGACUCAACGCGGGACAACUUACCGGGCCCGACGACCGUACGAGUGUGACACACGAUAGGUCGAAGAGUGGUGCAUGGCCGUUAACGACGAGUGGAGUGAUCUUUGGGKUAAGUCCGUAAAUUAGUGAGACCUCAGCCGUAAGGGACAGGUGCGCAAAGCACAGGAAGGAUGGGUCAAGGACAGGUCAGUGAUGCCCUUAGAUGGUCCGGGCUGCACGCGCACUACAGUGGUCGCCGAAAUUACCUGAUAAUUUUAAAGGCGAUCGAGAGGGAAUGAGCUUUGUAAGAGGCUCAGGAACGAGGAAUUGCUAGUAAUCGCGGACUCAUUAAGACGCGAUGAAUACGUCCCUGUUCUUUGUACACACCGCCCGUCGUUAUCGAAGAUGAAGACAGGCGCGAACGAUCUACCAGAAAGUGAGCGCAGGUCUUUAGAUCUGAUACAAGUCGUAACAAGGUAGCUGUAGGAGAACCUGUAGCUGG